AAAUACUUCAGAAUGUGUGAUUGUGGCCACACUGGGAUGGUUAAGACUGUGUAUGAAAAGCCUUCUUUGGUUGUUAGAUUUGGGGCUUUACAAAGGUGAAAACGUAUGGUCUUGCUUCCUUACAGAGCCCAUAUUCGUAUACUUGAGCACUGCAGCACCCGACCAAGACCACUGCAUGGAGGCUGCAGUUCUGGGCCACAUCCUCUGGGCCACAAAGGCUUCUGGAGGAGGGGUUCCCAUGUGUGAUGGCAAACAACUCUCACCAUGGCAUUUGGCCAUUUUCAAUCAUUUCCCCAGAGACUGAGCUCAUGCGGUCAUCAUUCACCAUCUACAUAGAUGUUCGAAUAAAAAGCCAGGGCUGAGAAUACUUGGCCUGUGUCAACUGAAUCCCCAUGCAUGGAAACUCGAGAGUAUCCAGGAUAUCAAUCUAUAAAGCCCCUGUAUUCUCCAAAGGGAUGUAGCUUGACCAUAAAAUGGAUGUAACACACAGUGAACAAUGGUAGCUUCCUCUCAAAUGUCUCCUGAGCUGUCCAAGUCCUGCGUUUAGCCCCUUUACAUUAUCUGUCUUUUGUGGUAUUGAGACAGGGUUUCUCUGUG
rnacentral:lncRNA from 1 species